rnacentral:rRNA from 1 species
AUCGAACGCUGGCGGCAGGCCUAACACAUGCAAGUCGAACGAGUGGCGGACGGGUGAGUAAUGUCUGGGAAACUGCCUGAUGGUGGGGGAUAACUACUGGAAACGGUAGCUAAUCCCGCAUACCAUCAGAUGUGCCCAGAUGGGAUUAGCUAGUUGUUGGGGUAACGGCUCACCAAGGCGACGAACCCUAGCUGGUCUGAGAGGAUGACCAGCAACACUGGAACUGAGACACGGUCCAAACUCCUACGGAAGGCAGCAGUGGGGAAUAGUGCACAAUGGGCGCAAGCCUGAUGCGGCCAGGCCGCGUGUAUGAAGAAGGCCUUCGGGUUGUAAAGUACUUUCAGCGGGGAGACGUUACCCGCAGAAGAAGCACCGGCUAACUCCGUGCCAGCAGCCGCGGUAAUAC